rnacentral:rRNA from 1 species
GACGAACGCUGGCGGCGUGCUUAACACAUGCAAGUCGAACGGAAAGGCCCCUUUGGGGUUGUUCGCGUGGGUGGCGGGUGGGUAACACGUUAGUGACCUGCCCUUGCCUUCCUGUUAAAUUCCUGCAACCGACUCUAAUAACUUCUUGCAAUCCUCGCCGCAUGUUUGGGGUUGGAUGGCAUCGGCGGCUGUGGAUGGACUCUCGGUUUAUCAGCUUGUUUGUGGGGUUGUGGCUUACCAAGGCUUUUACGGGUAGCCGGCCUGAGAGGGGGACCGGCCACAUGGGGACUGAGAUACGGCCCAGACUCCUACGGGAGGCAGCAGUGGGGAAUAUUGCACAAUGGGCGGAAGACUGAUGCAGCAACGCCGCGUGCGGGAUGACGGCCUUCGGGUUGUAAACCGCUUUCAGCAGGGGCGAAGCGUUAGUGACGGUACCUGCAGAAGAAGCACCGGCUAACUACGUG